rnacentral:rRNA from 1 species
GUCCAUGCCGUAAACGUUGGGCACUAGGUGUGGGGACAUUCCACGUUUUCCGCGCCGUAGCUAACGCAUUAAGUGCCCCGCCUGGGGGAGUACGGCCGCAAGGCUAAAACUCAAAGGAAUUGACGGGGCCCGCACAAGCGGCGGAGCAUGCGGAUUAAUUCGAUGCAACGCGAAGAACCUUACCAAGGCUUGACAUGAACCGGAACGGCGCAGAGAUGUGUCGGCCACUUGUGGCCGGUUUACAGGUGGUGCAUGGUUGUCGU